rnacentral:rRNA from 1 species
GUAGGUGGCAAGCGUUGUCCGGAAUUAUUGGGCGUAAAGCGCGCGCAGGCGGUCCUUUAAGUCUGAUGUGAAAGCCCACGGCUCAACCGUGGAGGGUCAUUGGAAACUGGGGGACUUGAGUACAGAAGAGGAAAGCGGAAUUCCACGUGUAGCGGUGAAAUGCGUAGAGAUGUGGAGGAACACCAGUGGCGAAGGCGGCUUUCUGGUCUGUAACUGACGCUGAGGCGCGAAAGCGUAGGGAGCAAACAGGGAUUAGAUACCCUGGUAGUCCACGCCGUAAACGAUGAGUGCUAAGUGUUAGGGGGUUUCCCGCCCCUUAGUGCUGCAGCUAACGCAUUAAGCACUCCGCCUGGGGAGUACGGCCGCAAGGCUG